rnacentral:rRNA from 1 species
AUUGAACGCUGGCGGCGUGCCUAACACAUGCAAGUCGAGCGGCAGCGCGGGAGCAAUCCUGGCGGCGAGCGGCGAACGGGUGAGUAAUGCUUCGGAAUCUGCCCAUGUAGUGGGGAAUAACCAGCCGAAAGGUUGGCUAAUACCGCAUACGACCUACGGGUGAAAGCAGGGGAGUCGUAAGACCUUGCGCUAUUGGAUGAGCCGAAGUCGGAUUAGCUUGUUGGGAGGUAACGGCUCACCAAGGCGACAAUCCGUAGCUGGUCUGAGAGGACGACCAGCCACACUGGGACUGAGACACGGCCCAGACUCCUACGGGAGGCAGCAGUGGGGAAUAUUGGACAA